rnacentral:ncRNA from 1 species
GCUCUCUGGAGAAUCCCUUAAUGGGUGCCGAAGGUGUAAGCAGACGGAGAACUGUCUGUGAAUCUCUCAGGCAAAAGGACAGUGAGGU